rnacentral:lncRNA from 1 species
CUUCUUAUUAAAAUAGAAAGAGAUCACGUUCAGCAUAUUGCUUCUGUGAUUUAUUCUGACUUUGAAAAAAAUUCACUGAUCCUACAUAUCUGAAAGAAAAAGCUAUCAUUACACCUACAAAUGAAAUAACGGAUGAAAUAAAUAUGUAUAUGCUUUCUUUGUUUUCUGGUGAAGAAAAUUUUUUUUUGAGCUUCGAUUCAAUAUAUCAAACAUCGGC